rnacentral:rRNA from 1 species
UACGAAGGGAGCUAGCGUUGUUCGGAAUCACUGGGCGUAAAGCGCACGUAGGCGGAUUUGUCAGUCAGGGGUGAAAUCCCGGGGCUCAACCUCGGAACUGCCUUUGAUACAGCAAGUCUUGAGUUCGAGAGAGGUGGGUGGAAUUCCUAGUGUAGAGGUGAAAUUCGUAGAUAUCGGGAGGAACACCAGUGGCGAAGGCGGCGACCUGGGCCAAUAUUGACGCUGAGGUGCGAAAGCGUGGGGAGCAAACAGG